AAGUCAUGGCUGAUGUCCUUUCAUCAUGGAAGGAUGCACACGAACGUCUCGAGAACACCAAACUGCCAAAAGUUCAGUUUUUAUAGAGACAGAUGGCAGAUGACAAGGACGUUAGCCUCAGGGCUGGAAAGAAUGAAAAGAUUUGGCUUCCUUCCCCAGUCAUGACCAGUUAGACAACUACUGCUCCACAUGUACCUGCCUGUCAUCUCAGCCUCUGAACACGGCCAGGCACGCUUAACUGUUGUUUAAUACCUUAUUAAACAGUUAAACAUCCAAGGCCUCUUUAUAGGGUCUUGCAGGCAGCGCAGCAUCUGUGAGGCAGAGUGAAAAAAAACCUGCUGUUUCCGUUUUCCACGCGUCAACAAUGUGGACUCUCCAUUUCUGGGUCUGUGAUAUCACGGAGCACAGGAAGUGACAUCACUUCCCUGUUCACUGAGCUUGAUAAUUGCACCCAGACAACAGAUGACAGCUGAGCUGCGCUGUGCUGGAAAAUGGAUAUGACUGUGGUUAGAGGUUAGCCUCAUAACAGGGCUGCUUUAUUGGUCUUGACUCCUCUGGUUCUUACAGUGCACACACACACACACAAAAAAGCUGUCCACAGAACAAACAGUACAGUUUUUAAUGCAAUUUUAUGUACUGCAUUGUCCACAAUAGAGUCCAAUAACUCUUUUUAUGAUGUUGUUUACCAAAAACUACUACAAGCUUUUAUUUAUUUGAUGUUUAUGAUUGUAGAAUGUAGAACUGGGACACGUUUUAAACAGUUUGAGAAAUGAUUGCAUAUCACUGAUAGCUAUCGAAAGAUUCUGUUAAUUCAUGCCAUACAUGUCUAAAAAGCGACAAAGUGUUAAUGGUCAGACUUGAGCAAGUAACAGCUGAUGUUGAGUCAGUGUGGUUUUAUCCCAAUGUGGCUUUAACCCCAUGUUAGGCGUUCUACUGUUACA